UGGAACACUAUCAUAAGCCUUAUCUAAAUCGAUAAAAACCAUAGAUGUAGUAAACCAGUACCUGAGACUUGGUACUGUAAACCAGAAAAUUCACAAUCUCAACCUUGAGAUCCAAUAGUCCAUAGAUGUAGUAAAAUAUGUGAGCAAACAAAUUAAACACUGAAAAAAUCAUGAUGACAGUGAAAGAAGAAGAGAAAGCAGAAGUGAUAGAUUAAAGUACUUACCUUGGAGUACCCAAAAUCACAA
rnacentral:misc_RNA from 1 species